rnacentral:rRNA from 1 species
UCCGGAAUGAUGAUGAUUUUAUAACAAUGGCUUUAGUGGCGGACUGGUGAGUGACGCGUAAGCAAUCUGCCUAUUAGAGGGGAAUAACAGUGAGAAAUCAUUGCUAAUACCGCAUAUGCCAUGAGUAUCGCAUGAUACAAUUGGGAAAGGAGUAAUCCGCUAAUAGAUGAGCUUGCGUCUGAUUAACUAGUUGGUGGGGUAACGGCCUACCAAGGUGACGAUCAGUAGCCGGACUGAGAGGUUGAACGGCCACAUUGGGACUGAGAUACGGCCCAGACUCCUACGGGAGGCAGCAGUCGGGAAUAUUGCGCAAUGGAGGAAACUCUGACGCAGUGACGCCGCGUAUAGGAUGAAGGUUUUCGGAUUGUAAACUAUUGUCGUUAGGGAAGAUUUAAGACAGUACCUAAGGAGGAAGCUCCGGCUAACUACGUGCCAGCAGCCGCGGUAAUACGUAGGGAGCAAGCGUUAUCCGGAUUUAUUGGGUGUAAAGGGUGCGUAGACGGGAAGGCAAGUUAGUUGUGAAAUCCCUCGGCUUAACUGAGGAACUGCAACUAAAACUAUCUUUCUUGAGUGCAGGAGAGGAAAGAGGAAUUCCUAGUGUAGCGGUGAAAUGCGUAGAUAUUAGGAGGAACACCAGUGGCGARGCGUCUUUCUGGACUGUAACUGACGUUGAGGCACGAAAGUGUGGGGAGCAAACAGGAUUAGAUACCCUGGUAGUCCACACCGUAAAACGAUGGAUACUAGGUGUAGGAUGUGUUAAACAUUCUGUGCCGUCGCAAAACGCAGUAAAGUAUCCCCACCUGGGGGAGUACGGCCGCAAAGGUUGAAACUCAAAAGGAAAUUGACGGGGGCCCCGCACAAAGCAGUGGAGUAUGUGGUUUAAAUUCGAAGCAAACGCGAAGAACCUUACCAGGGCUUGACAUAUACAGGAAAUAUAUUAGAGAUAGUAUAGCUUCUUCGGAGUCUGUAUACAGGUGGGUGCAUGGUUGUCGUCAGCUCGUGUCGUGAGAUGUUGGGUUAAGUCCCG